rnacentral:rRNA from 1 species
GACGAACGCUGGCGGCGUGCUUAACACAUGCAAGUCGAACGAAGAGCGAUGGAAGCUUGCUUCUAUCAAUCUUAGUGGCGAACGGGUGAGUAACGCGUAAUCAACCUGCCCUUCAGAGGGGGACAACAGUUGGAAACGACUGCUAAUACCGCAUACGAUCUAACCUCGGCAUCGAGGAAAGAUGAAAGGUGGCCUCUAUGUAUAAGCUAUCACUGAAGGAGGGGAUUGCGUCUGAUUAGCUAGUUGGAGGGGUAACGGCCCACCAAGGCGAUGAUCAGUAGGCGGGUUGAGAGGAAGAACGGCAACAAUGGGGACGAGAAAAGGGCCAGAACGCCAAGGGGAGCAGCAGGGGGGGAACUUCCGGCAUGGAAGGAAGGUCGGAGGAGCAACGCCGCGGGAGGGAAGACGGGCUUCCGGUUGUAAAGGUCUGUUAAACCGGGCGAAAGGGCCUCCUGCGAAAAGGGAGAAGGAAUGAAGGUACCGGAAUAGAAAGCCACGGCUAACUACGUG